AUUUCCCUGCCCGGUACGUGAUUAGGAACAAAGUCCUUGAACCGUAAAAUCCUCAAUAAGGAGCCUCUAUUUCGCCGCCUGCCGGCAAGCCUUUCACCCGUGAACUGGUAGCCGAACGGCGUCGAUCGGGUUCCACUUGUUCUUGAGCAGUUCAAAGGAACUGUUACACACGGCCAGGGUGGGGUUUUU
rnacentral:other from 1 species